rnacentral:lncRNA from 1 species
AUCUCCCGAAAAUUAUUUGUAGCGGGUUCGUCGGAACAGUUCACGAACGGUUCAACGCGAGUCCGAAUGGAAUUUCAUCGUAUCGAAAGGUGUGCCGCUUCAGUGUGAGUGUUCCUAAAGCACUCAUAGUCCAUGUUUGAAGCGUAAUUCAUCCUAUCCAUUAUCACUGGAUAAGUGCUCAAGUUAUAUCAACAUCAACUUUUCAAAACUCUAAUGACUUUUUUCAAGCUAUGCAUUCACUGAAACUUGUUGUUGUUUUAAAUUUCUACUAUUUUAAAGAAGAGCUAUGCCUUUAUGUCCAAUCUGGAGACUAGAGCGUGGAAUCCUCAUCAGAAUCAGGCCCCCGUCGGCAGUAGGAGUAGUGAUGAACUCCUGAGUAUCAGCCGACUGGGUGCCACAGAAUGGGUUUAGAGGUACUAGUGGCAGCGCUAUUUUGAAUUUGUUGCGUGGAGUGGGUAGUCAUGAUUCCAACCUGAUUGUUGCCUCUUUCCCCUCUGCCACACAACAUGGUAACUGCUCCGUCACCAGGUGAAUCAUCUCGCUGUUGACAGUGCAUCGGGCCGCAUUUAUGUUGCAGGGUCAAUCGGCUGAUUCAACUCAAUUCAAAUCUGCGUUUGGAAGAAUGCAAAGUGACUGGGCCUAUAGAAGAUAGUCCUCUGUGUCAUGCUACACGGCUGUACUGAUAAUAUCCCCAAACCGCCCACCGAUAAUGUGAACAAAGUGCUAAUUCUUGACCCUGAAUCUAAGUCUGUGAUAGCUUGUGGCUCUGUAUCCAAG